rnacentral:rRNA from 1 species
CGGACGGGUGAGUAACGCGUGGAAAACCUGCCGUAUACUGGGGGAUAACACUUAGAAAUAGGUGCUAAUACCGCAUAAGCGCACAGCUUCGCAUGAAGCGGUGUGAAAAACUCUGGUGGUAUACGAUGGUUCCGCGUCUGAUUAGCUAGUUGGUGGGUAAUGGCCUACCAAGGCAACGAUCAGUAGCCGGCCUGAGAGGGUGAACGGCCACAUUGGGACUGAGACACGGCCCAAACUCCUACGGGAGGCAGCAG